rnacentral:rRNA from 1 species
CCUACGGGAGGCAGCAGUGGGGAAUAUUGCGCAAUGGGCGAAAGCCUGACGCAGCAACGCCGCGUGAGGGAUGACGGCCUUCGGGUUGUAAACCUCUUUCGGCAGGGAAGAAGCGAAAGUGACGGUACCUGCAGAAGAAGCACCGGCUAACUACGUGCCAGCAGCCGCGGUAAUACGUAGGGUGCAAGCGUUGUCCGGAUUUAUUGGGCGUAAAGAGCUCGUAGGCGGUUAGUCACGUCGGAUGUGAAAUCUUGGAGCUUAACUCCGAGCCUGCAUUCGAUACGGGCUGACUAGAGUGCUGUAGGGGAGACUGGAACUCCUGGUGUAGCGGUGAAAUGCGCAGAUAUCAGGAAGAACACCGGUGGCGAAGGCGGGUCUCUGGGCAACUACUGACGCUGAGGAGCGAAAGCGUGGGGAGCAAACAGGAUUAGAUACCCUGGUAGUCCACGCCGUAAACGGUGGGCGCUAGGUGUGGGGAACAUUCCACGUUCUCCGUGCCGCAGCUAACGCAUUAAGCGCCCCGCCUGGGGAGUACGGCCGCAAGGCUAAAACNCAAAGGAAUUGACGG